AACGAACGCUGGCGGCAUGCCUAACACAUGCAAGUCGAACGAGAUCUUCGGAUCUAGUGGCGCACGGGUGCGUAACGCGUGGGAAUCUGCCCCUUGCUUCGGAAUAACAGUGAGAAAUUACUGCUAAUACCGGAUGAUGUCUUCGGACCAAAGAUUUAUCGGCAAGGGAUGAGCCCGCGUAGGAUUAGGUAGUUGGUGGGGUAAUGGCCUACCAAGCCGACGAUCCUUAGCUGGUCUGAGAGGAUGAUCAGCCACACUGGGACUGAGACACGGCCCAGACUCCUACGGGAGGCAGCAGUGGGGAAUAUUGGACAAUGGGCGAAAGCCUGAUCCAGCAAUGCCGCGUGAGUGAUGAAGGCCUUAGGGUUGUAAAGCUCUUUUACCGGGGAUGAUAAUGACAGUACCUGGAGAAUAAGCUCCGGCUAACUCCGUG
rnacentral:rRNA from 1 species